AGCGAACGCUGGCGGCAGGCUUAACACAUGCAAGUCGAGCGGGCAUCCUUGUGGUGUCAGCGGCAGACGGGUGAGUAACGCGUGGGAACGUGCCCUUCGGUUCGGAAUAACUCAGGGAAACUUGAGCUAAUACCGGAUACGUUCGAGAGCAGAAAGGUUUAUCUGCCGAAGGAUCGGCCCGCGUCUGAUUAGCUAGUUGGUGAGGUUAUGGCUCACCAAGGCGACGAUCAGUAGCUGGUCUGAGAGGAUGAUCAGCCACACUGGGACUGAGACACGGCCCAGACUCCUACGGGAGGCAGCAGUGGGGAAUAUUGGACAAUGGGGGCAACCCUGAUCCAGCCAUGCCGCGUGAGUGAUGACGGCCUUAGGGUUGUAAAGCUCUUUUCUCCGGGACGAUAAUGACGGUACCGGAGGAAUAAGCCCCGGCUAACUUCGUG
rnacentral:rRNA from 1 species